rnacentral:rRNA from 1 species
UACGUAGGGGGCGAGCGUUGUCCGGAUUUAUUGGGCGUAAAGAGCUCGUAGGUGUUUUGGUAAGUCGGAUGUGAAAUCUCCAGGCUCAACCUGGAGGGGUCAUUCGAUACUGCCAUGACUAGAGUUCGGUAGGGGAGUGUGGAAUUCCUGGUGGAGCGGUGAAAUGCGCAGAUAUCAGGAGGAACACCCGUAGCGAAGGCGGCUCACUGGACCACAACUGACGCUGAUGCACGAAAGCUAGGGGAGCAAACAGG